AUUGAACGCUGGCGGCAUGCUUUACACAUGCAAGUCGAACGGCAGCGCGGGGCAACCUGGCGGCGAGUGGCGAACGGGUGAGUAAUAUAUCGGAACGUACCCAAGAGUGGGGGAUAACGUAGCGAAAGUUACGCUAAUACCGCAUACGAUCUAAGGAUGAAAGUGGGGGAUCGCAAGACCUCAUGCUCCUGGAGCGGCCGAUAUCUGAUUAGCUAGUUGGUGAGGUAAAGGCUCACCAAGGCGACGAUCAGUAGCUGGUCUGAGAGGACGACCAGCCACACUGGAACUGAGACACGGUCCAGACUCCUACGGGAGGCAGCAGUGGGGAAUUUUGGACAAUGGGCGCAAGCCUGAUCCAGCAAUGCCGCGUGAGUGAAGAAGGCCUUCGGGUUGUAAAGCUCUUUUGUCAGGGAAGAAACGGUAGAGGCUAAUAUCCUUUGCUA
rnacentral:rRNA from 1 species